CUCCCUCCACCAUGAAAAAAUCAAUUUUUUUUCAUUUUCUUUUCUUUGUUUUCUUUUCCUUUCCUUUGUUUUCGUACUUCUUUCUUCUCCUAACUUUUUGGGCACCAAACCUGCAGCUUCAAACACUAUUUUCUAGCACAACCAAACCCUAGGAGAGAGAAGGAAAAAUCUCUCUUUCUUUCAUUUAUUUUCUAUUUCUACCUCACCAUCACUAACAAUUGAAUUCUCAACUUUAAAUCUCCAUUUUAAGGCUAAAAGGUUUUUGUUGAUCUUUAUGCCUCCAAGGUCACCAAGGUUUCAAUGGUAUUUCGGGACUACCUGGAUUAAGAUCUUG
rnacentral:sRNA from 10 species